rnacentral:lncRNA from 1 species
CAGCCAUAAAAAGAGCGAAAUAAUAUCCUUUGCAGCGACAUGGAUGCAGCUGGAGGCCAUUACCCUAAGCAAAUUUACUCAGGAACUGGAAACUAAAAGCCACGUUUUCUUAUUUAUAAGUGAGAGCUAAACGUUGGGUAAUCGUGGACAUAAAAGUGGCAACAAUAGACACUGGGGACUAUUAGAGUGGGGAGGAAGGGAGACGGGCAAGGGUUGAUAAACUAUUGGGUACUAUGCUGACUACCUGGGUGACAGGAUCAAUCAUACCCCAAACCUCAGCAUCAGGCAAUAUUUCCAGGUACCAAACCUGCACAUGUACCCCCUGAAUCUAAAAUAGAAGUCAAAAUUAUAAAAAUAAAAGAAAAAAGAAGUAUUAUCCCCUCCACUUUGGUCCCCUGAACCCUCUGAGAAUAAGAAAAUUAGUUUCUUUGUGGAGGAACGGCAUGGUUCCUCGGUUCCUUCCCAUUUUGGUAGUUAAUUGUGAUUCCCCACUAGUAUAAAGGAUUCUGGAAGGCUGCCAUCUUAUGCAGACUUACAGAAAAAGUGGCAGAAGGAGUCUGACUGGCUGGCCCAGGAUUCAUGUUCACAAGUAGACUGAGCAGCCCUUGUGCUUUGCGAUCAUUCUGGCCAUCAAACUCCAUGGCCCCAUAUUCGUGUCACUUGCCCAAGGUCCUUCCGUCCAAAUGGCCAAACCCACCUGAUGUUGACAUGAUAUACAGUUUGCAAAGUGUUUCCCGUAAUAUUUUGUUUGCACCCCAACCUUGUAAGGGAUUAUUAACUAUUCUAUUUACAGCUGGAAAAAAAUGAAUAAUUUUUGAAAUCUGACAUUGAAGAAACCCUAGAAGUUAGCCCAACUCAAUCCCUUAUUUUCUCAGAUGAUGACAUUGAGACCCUGAAAAGUUAAGUGCCUUGUUCAAAAUCACAGUGACAGUAAUGACAACAAGGGUGUCUUGAUCAGAUAUGGUACUGAGCACUCAGAGUAUGUCGUCUCAUUUUGUUCUCACAACCAUCUUACAAAGUAGGACAUGUUGAAAAUAAGAUAAGCAAACUGAGAGGGCUGAGUCAAGGCCAGGUUUUCUGAUGCAAGUUCAGUGCAGCUUCACUCCUCACAGCUACGCCAGGUUGGCCCCUCUCCACUCCUGACGUCAGGGCCAUCUGAGGGGAGGACAUGGCUGUCAGCUGGGAAGAGUGAAAUGGGCAAAGACUGCGUCACGGCUGGAAGGGAUCGUGGCAAGGGCACAGGCAGCAGGAAAGCUGGUGAGUCACCAGAAAGUCUGGCUAAGGAUGAGACUGAGAUCAGUUCAACAAAACAGCCAAAACGAUCACAGCAGCAUCUCUCUCUGACCACCCAGAUUACUUUCAGCAGCAGCACAGUAUGAGCAAGGCUGAGCUCCAGGGAGAGCCAGGGAACAAGCCAGAAAUUUUUAUCAGGAUUUCUUUUUCACACGAACUCCUCAGACUCUAAAUCCAGCCCUUUAAACUGGUGAAGCAAAGGUCCAAGAGAAAAUUUGCUGAUUAUAUGAAUUUUCACCAGCAGUAAAUCAGUGGUUCUCUACUAGGAUAACUGCGCCCCCAGGGGACAUUUGACAAUGUCUAGAGACAAUUUUCGUUGGAGGGUUGGGAGAGCGCUACUGGUAAAUAAUGGAGAAAGGCCACAGAUGUGGCUAAAUAUCCUUCAAUGCAUGGGACGGCCCCUUUCAACAAAGAAUUAUCCCACCCAAAAAUGUUCAUAGUGUCGAGGCUGAGAAACUUUGGUGCAAAUGAAGCUGAGCUGCGUAUAAACAUAACUUCAGUUGCACAAUAAACACCCCAGCUUUCAGAGAAAUAGUCAACUAGGUCAAAGGGCACUGGAGUGGGGACUGCAAGGCCUGAUUUCUAGUUCUAACUUGAUGACAAGUUUGGAACUUUGGGUGUCUUUUUCUUCCUAGAACUAGAGCAGCCAUGUGAUGCGGCCAGAGCCUUCCUGGGGUUGGCUAGUGGCAUAUAGGAAACAGCAGGGCUACUCUACCUUUGCAAAACAUUCUUAAGUUAUGAUUAACCCAAGCAUCUCAGUGUUGAUGGACCACCUUUGUUUUAGUAGGGCCUCAGCACUUUUUUCCUCCAAUUAAAAAGGUAAUCCAUAUCAUUAUAGAAACUUAAGAAAAUACAGAAUAACACAAACAGAAGAAAAAAAGUAUCUUAUAAUCCCAUCUCUUAGAAAGGAGUCUUAUUCUGAAGGUCUCCAGAUACUGACCUUCAUUUUCAAUAUUUUGAAGAGGAAGGGGAGAAGAGAGAGUCACUGUCCUCCUCCUUUUGUUGUUGUUUUUGUUUUCUUUUUCACUUCUUUAUAGUACAAGCGAGCUUUACCAAUUAGUCAAAAGUGGAGUUCAAAGAGUUUUAACUGUAGCUACUUGUGUUUGUACUAAUGUUUUAACUUUUUAAAAAAGUUAAAGUUGUUGAUUGUGGUAAAAUACAAAUAACAUAAAACUUACCACCUUAACCAUUUUUGACUGUACAGUUCAGUAGUGUUGUGAGUCAAUCUCCAGAACCUUUUCAUUUUCCAAAACAAAUACUCUGAACUCAUUAAACAAUAACUCCUCAAUUUCCUCCUCCUCUAGCCCCUGGCAGCCACCAUUCUACUUCCUGUUUUAUGAACUUGACUACUCCAGAUUCCUCAUGUAAGAGAAAUUAUACAGCAUUUGUCUUUUUGUGACUAUUUCACUUAGCAUAAUGUCUUCAAGGUUGAUCUAUGUUGUAGCACAUGUCUGAAUUUGCUUGCUUUUUAAUGCUGAACAGUAUUCCAUUGUGUAUCCCAUUUUGUUGAUCCAUUUAUCUAUUGAUGGGCAUGUGGGUUGCUUCCCCUUUGGCUAUUAGGAAUAAUGCUGCUGUAAACACGGGUGUACGAAUUUCCCUUAGAAACUCUGUGUUGUGUCUUAACUUCUUGGUUCCUCCUUUGUUUUUGUUGUAAAAAUGGAGGAAAAAGGAACACCUGCCUUGCAAACCCCCAGAUAGAGUGCUGGAUAAACAGUGAAGAGCCAAUGUUUCCACAGGAGGAAGGAUUAGAUAGGGAGAGCUGG